UUAAAAUGCAGUUGCAUUCUGAAUUAUUCAUCUAUCCAUUGAAACAUCUUUGACAAAACCUUUGCAUUGGAAAAAAAACCACUUGCCCAUUUUAAACUCCUAAAACCUUUAAAAGAAUGCUAAAAGAUCUAUUUUAAGAAUGUAUGUCACCAGAAAUAGCCUUCAUGAUGAAAUUGGCUCCAGUGCCAUAUAUAGAUAUCAAAAGUCAUGACACAAUCUGCUUUGCUUCUUCUUAAGGUUGGACUGUUUCCAGAGAUGUGAUGUAUGGACAAUUUGUAAAUUCAAUAUCCUGUGACAACCACAGAUUUUCAGACACAGAUAUUGCUCAAUUUACCAAAGCUAUUUCAGCAUUCCCUUGAAGCUCCUCAGAUGUUUCACCCAAAGACGAACUCACAAAUAUGCUUUUGAUUCAACUUUAGAUGAAAAGUUGGGAACAACUCUAUAAUGCUUGCAGAGAGAGAUGAUUUUG
rnacentral:lncRNA from 11 species